GAUGAACGCUAGCUACAGGCUUAACACAUGCAAGUCGAGGGGCAGCGCUGGGGAUGCUUGCAUUCCCUGGCGGCGACCGGCGGAUGGGUGAGUAACGCGUAUCCAACCUGCCCCUGUCCCGGGGACAGCCCUUAGAAAUGAGGAUUAACCCCCGAUGGUGUGGUUGCGCCGCAUGACGCAUCCACUAAAUGUGAAGGACAGGGAUGGGGAUGCGUUCCAUUAGGUUGCAGGCGGGGUAACGGCCCACCUGGCCGACGAUGGAUAGGGGUUCUGAGAGGAAGGUCCCCCACACUGGUACUGAGACACGGACCAGACUCC
rnacentral:rRNA from 1 species